rnacentral:rRNA from 1 species
UACGGAGGGUGCAAACGUUGCUCGGAAUCAUUGGGCGUAAAGCGCACGUAGGCGGUCCCUUAAGUCGGGUGUGAAAGCCCUGGGCUCAACCCAGGAAGUGCAUUUGAAACUGAGGGGCUAGAGUACAGAAGAGGGUCGCGGAAUUCCCGGUGUAGAGGUGAAAUUCGUAGAUAUCGGGAGGAACACCAGUGGCGAAGGCGGCGACCUGGGCUGAUACUGACGCUGAGGUGCGAAAGCGUGGGGAGCAAACAGG